rnacentral:rRNA from 1 species
UACGUAGGGUGCAAGCGUUAAUCGGAAUUACUGGGCGUAAAGCGUGCGCAGGCGGUUGUGCAAGACCGAUGUGAAAUCCCCGGGCUCAACCUGGGAAUGGCAUUGGUGACUGCACGGCUAGAGUGUGUCAGAGGGGGGUAGAAUUCCACGUGUAGCAGUGAAAUGCGUAGAGAUCGGGAGGAACACCAGUGGCGAAAGCGGCUCUCUGGUCCAAAACUGACGCUGAGGGGCGAAAGCGUGGGGAGCGAACGGG